UCCCCGUUACCGGGGCAGUCUGGCUAGAAAAAUACAACUAACCAUAAGGGUUGCGCUCGUUGAUGGACUUAACCAAACAUCUCACGACACGAGCUGAAGACGGCCAUGCACCACCUGUCACUUGAUUCCCGAAGGCACUCACUGCUUUCACAGUAAUUCCAAGGAUGUCAAACCCUGGUAAGGUUCUACGCUUACCAUCGUAUUAAACAACACGCUCCACCGCUUGUGCGGGUCCCCGUCAAUUCCUUUAUGUUUUAAGCUUGCGCUCGUACUCCACAGGCGGGAUGCUUAACGCGUUAGCUUCGCAACAAACCGGGUCGAUACGGCUUACUGCUAGCAUCCAUAGUUUACGGCGUGGACUAC
rnacentral:misc_RNA from 1 species